rnacentral:rRNA from 1 species
CCUACGGGCGACAGCAGUGAGGAAUAUUGGUCAAUGGACGGAAGUCUGAACCAGCCAUGCCGCGUGCAGGAAGACGGCUCUAUGAGUUGUAAACCUCUUUUGUCAGGGAGCAAGGUGCAGGUCGGGACCUGCUGUGAGAGUACCUGAAGAAAAAGCAUCGGCUAACUCCGUGCCAGCAGCCGCGGUAAUACGGAGGAUGCGAGCGUUAUCCGGAUUUAUUGGGUUUAAAGGGUGCGCAGGCGGAGGCACAAGUCAGCGGUAAAAUCGCGGGGCUCAACCCCGCUCCGCCGUUGAAACUGUGUCCCUGGAGUGCGCGAAGGGUAGGCGGAAUGCGUGGUGUAGCGGUGAAAUGCAUAGAUAUCACGCAGAACUCCGAUCGCGAAGGCAGCCUACCGGCGCGCAACUGACGCUCAUGCACGAAAGCGUGGGUAUCGAACAGGAUUAGAUACCCUGGUAGUC